GAUGAAGAACGUAGCGAAAUGCGAUACGUAAUGUGAAUUGCAGAAUUCAGUGAAUCAUCGAAUCUUUGAACGCACCUUGCGCUCCUUGGUAUUCCGAGGAGCAUGCCUGUUUGAGUGUCAUGAAAUUCUCAACCUUUUCAGCUUUCUUUGUUGAUCAGGCUUGGAUGUGGGAGUAUGCGGGCUUCUCAGAAGUCGGCUCUCCUGAAAUGCAUUAGCGGGACCUUUGUUGCCUGGCUUUGGUGUGAUAAUUAUCUACGCCAUUGUAGUCAAGCAGCUUAAAAUGAGGUUUCAGCUUCUAACCGUCUCCCCUGAGACAACUUUUUGACAAUUUGACCUCAAAUCAGGUAGGACUACCCGCUGAACUUAAGCAUAUCAAUAAGCGGAGGA
rnacentral:misc_RNA from 1 species